GGGAGCUUGGCUCAGUUGGAAGAGCGCAGGUCUCAUACUGGUCGUUUCCACUACUGCUGGAAGAUGUAUGAUCCGGUCACAGGCCGGGAUAUCCUGAGGUCGUGAGUUCGAGCCUCACAGUUCCCA